rnacentral:lncRNA from 1 species
AUAAACAACUAUUCCAACCAUACAAGCAAACAAGAAACGGGCAAAAAGAGGCAAAUAGAGAGGGAGGAUGGAGAGGGAAAGGGCGAAUAAAACGACAAGGGUGAAGUGGGGGAGAUGAAAACGAGGCAAAUGUCAAAUAAUGUAAUGCGAGAGAUAGGGAUUGUGAUGGGUACUUGGUAUGUUGACUUUUUGCGUAGACCCCCGGCAAUGGCACCAGAAAUCCUUCUUGCUACGUCUUGAGCUUGCAUUGGUUUUCCCCGAAGAGGAAGAGAUGAUGCAACAGAGUAGCGUAAGUAUUUCCCUCAGUUUUUGAGAACCAAGGUUUCAAUCCAGUAGGAGGCCACACUCAAGUCCCUGGCACCUGCACAAAGCAAUAGCUACUCGCAACCAAUGCCAUGUUCACUCAGGAGGCUCUUAGCAACAAUUUUGGUGCACUGUGAGCCAGGCGACGUGCGUGGUUUAUGGGAUAGGCACCUCGAGCCUAUGUCUGAUGACUAUCGGUGAUCACACACGUGCCCGAUUGAGGUGGAACAGAUGGUGUUGCUUGACAUUAGGGGUAUGUUGCAGUCCAUGGGAAAAGACAUAGCGGAUUUCGCUCUUCCAUGCAUUGAUGAUGCGUUCGACCCAACCGAGGGCGAGGCCGGAGAAUUGAUCGAGGAAUCCAACAUCGAUUUUGACAUCAACGACACUAAAUUGGCAUCGUCGCUAAACUUCGAGCAGAGGGUUGCAUACGACGAGAUACUAGCUGCUGUUGAUGGCGGUGAUGGGGGUGUGUUCUUUGUUGAUGGCCCGGGAGGUACAGGGAAGACCUUCCUGUACAGGGCGCUGCUCGCGAAGGUUCGAAGCGAGGGAAACAUCGCUAUCGCUACCGCGACGUCAGGCGUCGCGGCUUCUAUCAUGCCUGGAGGCAGGACUGCCCACUCGAGGUUCAAGAUCCCAUUGAGUUGCGACGAUGGCGCCUCCUGCACCUUCACGAAGCAGAGUGGUACCGCCAAGCUACUGAGGAUGGCCUCAUUGAUACUAUGGGAUGAGGCCACCAUGACUAAGCGACGGGCGGUCGAGGCACUGGACAACAGCAUGCGUGACAUCAUGGGAAGAUGGGACCGACCCUUUGGAGGAAAAACUGUUGUGUUUGGUGGGGACUUCAGGCAGGUGCUUCCGGUCGUCAGGAGGGGGUCCCGGGGUCAGACAAUCGAUGCAACCCUUCGAAGUUCACAUCUCUGGAAGGGUAUGCGCCAGCUAAGGCUCGUCAUCAACAUGAGGGCUCAUAAUGACACCUGGUUUGUGGACUACUUGCUAAGGGUAGGCAAUGGCACCGAGGAAGUUGACGAUCAAGGAAACAUACGACUCCCUGAAGAUAUUUGUGUGCGAUCUACAUGCGAGGGGGACGACCUAGAGAAGCUGAUUGACCAUGUGUUUCUGAGACUAGAUGACAAAAUGUCCGAUCCGAAUUACAUGACUUCACGCGCAAUCCUCUCCACCACAAACGACAAUGUGGACAAGAUAAACAUACGCAUGGUAGAGCAUUUUCGGGGAGAAGAAGUAAUCUACCAUAGCUUUGACAGUGCAGAAGACGACCCAUAUGGCUACUACGCUCCCGAGUUCCUGAAUGGGUUGACUCCCAAUGGUCUGCCUCCGCAUGCACUCAACCUGAAGCUCAACUGCCCUAUCAUACUUCUGAGGAACAUUGAUCUGGCUAAUGGUCUGUGUAACAGGACGAGGCUUGUGGUCCGAGGUUUCGAGAGGAACGCCAUCGAUGCAGAAAUCGUGAUCGGACAACACGCAGGUAGGAGGGUAUUCCUUCCUCGAAUACCCCUAUGCCCGUCUAACAAUGACAUGUUUCCAUUCAAGUUCAAGAGGAAGCAAUUUCCUGUAAGGCUUAGCUUUGCCAUGACGAUUAACAAGGCUCAAGGACAGACAAUUCCAAUUGUUAGCGUGUACCUACCUAAUCUGGUGUUCUCUCAUGGUCAACUCUAUGUCACGUUGUCUCGAGCCACCGCGAAGAGGAACAUAAAGAUCCUCAUUGAGAAGGAGAAGGAGAAGGAUAAUGGCAAGAAGAAAAGUGAUAAAUCAAAGAAGUGAAAAAGACCUUCCUUGUCCUUACAAACCUUGAUGAAGAACAUCGUCUAUAAGAAAGUCCUUACAGGCUGAAGUCCACACUUACGAAACCGGCGGGUUUUGAAUAUGGCAAGAGCAUUUACUCUUAUUCUAUAGAUAAUUUGUUGCUCUGGAGUGCUUUUGUACAUAUGUUUAUCUUUGUUUUUUAUUUGACUGCAAUCUUUAUUUAAACAUGCGCGACCACUAUCAGAUUAAGAAUGCCCAGCUUCAGUGGCGUUGCUAUGGGCCAGUGCACUUCAUCUUCAAUUUUAUCAUGUUUUGCUCAGACUCUGAGGAUUUAGAGUAUGCAUCUAUAUAGUUUUGCAUCCAGUACACCUAUGCUUUGAACGUCUCGAGAUGUAGGUAUAGCCAAUAUGACAUGUUAGAUAAUAACAUGAGACAAUCGCCCCCUGUUUUAAGUCUAUAUGUUUCAAUUCGGUUAGUAUACACUAGACAGAAUUAAUUAUUGUGGUAUUUUUGUCUAUCAAUAAUGUGUGUGCAUGUUUUCCUUAAGGAAACAACAUAUAGUUGUCUUUAUCACCGGGAACACACUUUAGGUGCAGAUCAUGAUAUUUCAGUUGGGCAGUUUUGACAUGGUACUUUUUUAGUCAAUAUUUGUUUAUCUUAAGAAGCAGUACUUCUCUCUUCGAAUGACACUACGAUACCAUAUAGAAGUUGCAUACAUUUCAGCCGUUACUAAUGUGACUACCAUUGAAAAUGUCGUGUCAUACUCGAAUCACAUCCUAAUAGUUGUUAUAAAAAACGUAUUAUUGCUUGCCCACACAUUGAAGUACUACAUUUUUUAUUACCCUGUAUUUCUAAAAACUUUUCUACCAUGCCGGUUUGUUGCUAAACUCGUAAAGGUUUUCAAAAUUAAAACUGUGGUUCCUAAACCCUGUUAUGCUUUUGUUUGUAGCACAAUAAAAGUAGUUCCUGUUUUAAUUUUGAGUGAACUGUUUGUUGUGGCCAUGAGAUACUUUUAAGUUUAAGGCAUUAAUUAGUUUUUCUUGAAUAACUUGUGGGUGCAUGCAGGAAACACAUACUUCAGCAUUUAAUUGAAAAGGCUAUUAUUCUUAAAUAGUAGUCUCUGUUGUUUCUCUUAAAUAGAGAGCUCAUAGAAUGAAUAAACAGAAGUGUAGAUGUGAUGAAUAGAGUAGAUAGAAGUACUGAUCUUACAGUUCUAUCACGUGAAGUGCAUCAUUGAUUACAUGGCAGAAAACUCAUGUCCAAUUGAAGUGCAUGGAUUUUCUCAAGGUCAUCACGU